AUUGAACGCUGGCGGCAGGCCUAACACAUGCAAGUCGAGCGGAUGAAGGGAGCUUGCUCCUGGAUUCAGCGGCGGACGGGUGAGUAAUGCCUAGGAAUCUGCCUGGUAGUGGGGGAUAACGUCCGGAAACGGGCGCUAAUACCGCAUACGUCCUGAGGGAGAAAGUGGGGGAUCUUCGGACCUCACGCUAUCAGAUGAGCCUAGGUCGGAUUAGCUAGUUGGUGGGGUAAAGGCCUACCAAGGCGACGAUCCGUAACUGGUCUGAGAGGAUGAUCAGUCACACGGGAACUGAGACACGGUCCAGACUCCUAAGGGAGGCAGCAGUGGGGAAUAUUGGACAAUGGGCGAAAGCCUGAUCCAGCCAGGCCGCGUGUGUGAAGAAGGUCUUCGGAUUGUAAAGCACUUUAAGUUGGGAGGAAGGGCAGUAAGUUAAUACCUUGCUGUUUUGACGUUACCAACAGAAUAAGCACCGGCUAACUUCGUG
rnacentral:rRNA from 1 species